AUUGAACGCUGGCGGCAGGCCUAACACAUGCCAGUCGAGCGGAUGAAGGGAGCUUGCUCCUGGAUUCAGCGGCGGACGGGUGAGUAAUGCCUAGGAAUCUGCCUGGUAGUGGGGGAUAACGUCCGGAAACGGGCGCUAAUACCGCAUACGUCCUGAGGGAGAAAGUGGGGGAUCUUCGGACCUCACGCUAUCAGAUGAGCCUAGGUCGGAUUAGCUAGUUGGUGGGGUAAAGGCCUACCAAGGCGACGAUCCGUAACUGGUCUGAGAGGAUGAUCAGGCACACUGGAACUGAGACACGGUCCAGACUCCUACGGGAGGCAGCAGUGGGGAAUAUUGGACAAUGGGCGAAAGCCUGAUCCAGCCAUGCCGCGUGUGUGAAGAAGGUCUUCGGAUUGUAAAGCACUUUAAGUUGGGAGGAAGGGCAGUAAGUUAAUACCUUGCUGUUUUGACGUUACCAACAGAAUAAGCACCGGCUAACUUCGUG
rnacentral:rRNA from 1 species